rnacentral:rRNA from 1 species
GGCGAAUAGGUGAGUAAUGUUUGGGUAACGUACCUCGGACACCGGGAUAGCUACGGGAAACUGUAGGUAAUACCGGAUAAGACCACAGUACCCACGGGUACAGCGGUAAAAGGAUGGGGAUCUCUUCGGAGACCUGUUGGUUCGAGAGCGGCUCAAAUCCUAUCAGCUUGUUGGUGAGGUAAUGGCUCACCAAGGCUGCGACGGGUACCGGGACUGAGAGGUUGAUCCGGCACAUUGGGACUGAGACACUGCCCAGACUCCUACGGGAGGCUGCAGUAACGAAUAUUGGACAAUGAGCGAAAGCUUGAUCCAGCGACGCCGCGUGUAGGAUGAAGUCCUUCGGGAUGUAAACUACUGUCAGGGACCACCAAGCGAUUGGGAUUAAUACCCCCAUGAGUUGAGGAAUCCCAGAGGAAGUCACGGCUAACUUCGUGCCAGCAGCCGCGGUAAUACGAAGGUGGCAAGCGUUGUUCGGAAUCACUGGGCUUAAAGAGCACGUAGGCGGAUUUUCAAGCGUCAUGUGAAAUUCCUCGGCUCAACCGGGGACGUGCAUGGCGAACUGUUGAUCUUGAGGCGGGGAGGGGCAAGUGGAACUCUUGGUGGAGCGGUGGAAUGCGUAGAUAUCAAGAGGAACACCGGAGGCGAAAGCGGCUUGCUGGCCCCGCUCUGACGCUGAGGUGCGAAAGUCAGGGUAACAAACGGGAUUAGAUACCCCGGUAGUCCUGACCGUAAACGAUGUGCACUAGGUUGAAGGUUUUGACGAACUUUCGGCCAAAAUGAAAACAUUAAGUGCACCGCCUGGGAAGUACGGUCGCAAGGCUAAAACUCAAAGGAAUUGACGGGGGCUCACACAAGCGGUGGAGCAUGUUGCUCAAUUCGAUGCAACGCGAAGAACCUUAUCCUGGGCUUGACAUGUUCGGGUGCCUUCUGCGGAAACGUGAAAGGCUGCCUUCGGGUGAAACGUUCACAGGUGCUGCAUGGCUGUCGUCAGCUCGUGUCGUGAGAUGUUGGGUUGAGUCCCGUA